rnacentral:rRNA from 1 species
UACGGAGGGGGCUAGCGUUGUUCGGAAUUACUGGGCGUAAAGCGCGCGUAGGCGGCUUUGUAAGUCAGAGGUGAAAGCCUGGAGCUCAACUCCAGAACUGCCUUUGAAACUGCAUCGCUAGAAUCAUGGAGAGGUAAGUGGAAUUCCGAGUGUAGAGGUGAAAUUCGUAGAUAUUCGGAAGAACACCAGUGGCGAAGGCGACUUACUGGACAUGUAUUGACGCUGAGGUGCGAAAGCGUGGGGAGCAAACAGG